GAUUUCUGUUGCUUGUGGCUGAAAGAGUAGAGUCCUGAUCUUCGUGCUGCUGUCAGUGGUCUCUCCCAGCCUACCUUCCACUGCACCAGGACCUGGCGGGGCUUUUUCAGAAACCCUUGGCCCACUCGCCAUUAGAAGUGAUGACUAAGCCAAAGGAUUGAGGGAGGGAGUCAGCCGUGUUUGCUCACAGCAGCCUGGAGUCAGAAAGAACAAAGGGCAUGAGAGAGAAACCAGGAAGUCCAGGAAGUAGACUGUGGACCUAGGAUCUUGUAUGGGUUUGGCACUCUUUCCCACACUGUGUCAGCAGCUGCAGGACCAGUCCUCCGUGGGUGAACCUUCUCGGAGAAGUCACCGGACCACACACUUCUCUCCACACAUCUGCACUGGAGCAGUGCAAGCAGUUAGUGCUCACUGACCCAUCCUCUGACCAACUUUAAAAUCGAAUGCAAGAGACGCCUACGGUCCUGGGUUUAUUGCUACACUACCUACAACAGUUAAGGUCAUUCCUGUGGGAGUCUCCAGCGGUGAAAGAGAGAAGUCACAGUUUAAAAAAUUCGCAUCAAGGACGAACACAAAGAAACUGCACCAACAAUGACCACAAACGUUAUCAAGAUCCUAGUUCUUGCCAUCAGCAAAGAGGACAUAUUCUUCUGAUAGUGGCCCUGAGGCCAUCAAAUCCCACAGGAA
rnacentral:lncRNA from 1 species